CUCCUAUAAUUUAUCAACAAUUAGUGAAUUGAUUUAUUAUAACUUUUGCAUAAGGUUAAUCAUCAAGCGAAUUGACUAUUUUACUCUAGAAUGAUUCUUAAUCAUCGAUCAGCUAUAUAAUUAGUCAGAAAUUUUUUUUGAGUGUGACCCCAUAAGUUCGAACCUAAGUCAAUAGUAUAAGAAUAAUCUUUCUAUACCAAUCAAAG
rnacentral:lncRNA from 1 species